GUUGAGGUAUAUCCUAAUGGGGCUUUUUUUUGUAGACCAACGUGGUUGGAAAUGCCUCAUUGAGUAUAUGUGUGGUUUGCUUUAUUCACAGAACUAUGUGUUAGAUCUGUGGGAAAGAACUGUAAGACAUCU